UGGGGAAUCUUGCGCAAUGGGCGAAAGCCUGACGCAGCCAUGCCGCGUGAAUGAUGAAGGUCUUAGGAUUGUAAAAUUCUUUCACCGGGGACGAUAAUGACGGUACCCGGAGAAGAAGCCCCGGCUAACUUCGUGCCAGCAGCCGCGGUAAUACGAAGGGGGCUAGCGUUGCUCGGAAUUACUGGGCGUAAAGGGAGCGUAGGUGGACUGUUUAGUCAGAGGUGAAAGCCCAGGGCUCAACCUUGGAAUUGCCUUUGAUACUGGCAGUCUUGAGUACGGAAGAGGUAGGUGGAACUCCGAGUGUAGAGGUGAAAUUCGUAGAUAUUCGGAAGAACACCAGUGGCGAAGGCGACAUACUGGUCCGUUACUGACACUGAGGCUCGAAAGCGUGGGGAGCAAACAG
rnacentral:rRNA from 1 species